CCUACGGGAGGCAGCAGUGAGGAAUAUUGGUCAAUGGUCGUAAGCCUGAACCAGCCAAGUCGCGUGAGGGAUGAAGGUUCUAUGUAUCGUAAACCUCUUUUAUAAGGGAAUAAAGUGUGGGACGUGUCCUGUUUUGUAUGUACCUUAUGAAUAAGGAUCGGCUAACUCCGUGCCAGCAGCCGCGGUAAUACGGAGGAUGCGAGCGUUAUCCGGAUUUAUUGGGUUUAAAGGGUGCGUAGGCGGCCUUUUAAGUCAGCGGUGAAAGUCUGUGGCUCAACCAUGGCAUUGCCGUUGAAACUGGGAGGCUUGAGUAUGUUUGAGGCAGGCGGAAUGCGUGGUGUAGCGGUGAAAUGCUUAGAUAUCACGCAGAACCCCGAUUGCGAAGGCAGCAUGCCAGGCCAUGACUGACGCUGAUGCACGAAAGCGUGGGGAUCAAACAGGAUUAGAUACCCCUGUAGUC
rnacentral:rRNA from 1 species